rnacentral:rRNA from 1 species
UACGUAGGAGGCAAGCGUUGUCCGGAAUUAUUGGGCGUAAAGCGCGCGCAGGCGGUCCUUUAAGUCUGAUGUGAAAGCCCACGGCUCAACCGUGGAGGGUCAUUGGAAACUGGGGGACUUGAGUGCAGAAGAGGAAAGCGGAAUUCCACGUGUAGCGGUGAAAUGCGUAGAGAUGUGGAGGAACACCAGUGGCGAAGGCGGCUUUCUGGUCUGUAACUGACGCUGAGGCGCGAAAGCGUGGGGAGCAAACAGG